rnacentral:rRNA from 1 species
CUUAUCGGGUUACCGAAUUCAGACAAACUCCGAAUGCCAAUCAAUUUAACUUGGGAGUCAGAACGCGGGUGAUAAGGUCCGUGGUCGAGAGGGAAACAACCCAGACCACCAGCUAAGGUCCCAAAAUAUAUGUUAAGUGGAAAAGGAUGUGGCGUUGCCCAGACAACUAGGAUGUUGGCUUAGAAGCAGCCAUCAUUUAAAGAGUGCGUAAUAGCUCACUAGUCGAGUGACACUGCGCCGAAAAUGUACCGGGGCUAAACAUAUUACCGAAGCUGUGGAUUGUCCGUAGGACUAUGGUAGGAGAGCGUUCUAAGGGCGUUUAAGCAUGAUCGCACGGACAUGUGGAGCGCUUAGAAGUGAGAAUGCCGGUGUGAGUAGCGAAAGACGGGUGAGAAUCCCGUCCUCCGAGUGACUAAGGUUUCCAGAGGAAGGCUCGUCCGCUCUGGGUUAGUCGGGGACUAAGCUGAGGCCGCUAGGCGUAGGCGAUGGAUAACAGGUUGAUAUUACUGUACCACCACAAUUCGUU